rnacentral:rRNA from 1 species
GACGAACGCUGGCGGCGUGCCUAAUACAUGCAAGUUGAGCGCUGAAGGUUGGUACUUGUACCAACUGGAUGAGCAGCGAACGGGUGAGUAACGCGUGGGGAAUCUGCCUUUGAGCGGGGGACAACAUUUGGAAACGAAUGCUAAUACCGCAUAAAAACUUUAAACACAAGUUUUAAGUUUGAAAGAUGCAAUUGCAUCACUCAAGGAUGAUCCCGCGUUGUAUUAGCUAGUUGGUGAGGUAAAGGCUCACCAAGGCGAUGAUACAUAGCCGACCUGGGAGGGUGAUCGGCCACAUUGGGACUGAGACACGGCCCAAACUCCUACGGGAGGCAGCAGUAGGGAAUCUUCGGCAAUGGACGAAAGUCUGACCGAGCAACGCCGCGUGAGUGAAGAAGGUUUUCGGAUCGUAAAACUCUGUUGGUAGAGAAGAACGUUGGUGAGAGUGGAAAGCUCAUCAAGUGACGGUAACUACCCAGAAAGGGACGGCUAACUACGU